rnacentral:rRNA from 1 species
UACGUAGGGGGCAAGCGUUGUCCGGAUUUAUUGGGCGUAAAGAGCGUGUAGGCGGCCAAACAGGUCCACUGUGAAAACUCGAGGCUCAACCUCGAGAGGUCGGUGGAAACCGUCUGGCUAGAGUCCGGAAGAGGAGAGUGGAAUUCCACGUGUAGCGGUGAAAUGCGUAGAGAUGUGGAGGAACACCAAUGGCGAAGGCAGCCUUCUGGGCCAACACUGACGCUCAUGCACGAAAGCGUGGGGAGCAAACAGG